rnacentral:lncRNA from 1 species
GCAUCCAGCAACAACUGCAGCAUGGACUCUGGGUCUGUUGGAUGUGGGCAUGGCUGCUGGCUCACUGCUAAGUCAGGGAAGCACCACGUGGCCCACGCUGUGGGCCCCUCCAAAGCCACUGUGUUCCAGCCCAGUGCCCAGCCCCAAGUACCGUGUUAUAAUGAGCGGCGACUGACGUGACCCAAGGCAGCCUCCCAUCCAGAGCUCCUGGGCCCAGGAUGUGAAUCUCAAUCCCUGAUGAGUGCUUAUUCCUGAAGCCCCAAGACGUGAAGCAAAGCCAAAGGUGAGCCACUUUCUUGACACAUCCAAAAGAAAUUUUGAGGAAUGUCAAAAGGAGUGACUGGCGGUCCUUCCUGGGUGCCACGACUCACUGGUCCGGGAAUCAGGCAGUGGAAAUGGGAGAUACACCACUCACCAUCACCCCUAGUGAGCCACUGGCAACAUUUUUGCUUCCUGUUCCCACAACUUUAUGCCCUGCUAGCCUAAAUGUCUUAGCUCCAGAGGGAAGAAUGCUUCCACCAGGAGAUGCAACAAUGAUUCCAUAAUUUCUACAACUUCCACAACUUCCAACUGGAAAUGAAGACUGUCAUCCAGCCAUUGUGGGCUCUUCGUGUCUCUGAGUCAACAGGCCAAGAAGAGAAUGAUAUUGCUGGCUGGGGUGAUUGAUCUUGACUAUCAAAGGGAAAUUGGAUUGCUGCUCCACAAUGGAAGGCAUUUUGUGAAGAGAUGAGCAUUUCCAUCAGUAGACUAAGAAGAUCCACUCUCACCAAUGUGGGUAGGCACCAUCCAAUCUGCUGAGGGCCUGGAUAGAGCCAAAGGGCAGAAGAAGGGCAAAUCCGCUCUCUCUGCUUGAGCUGAUAUAUCCAUCUUCUGCCCUCGGACACUGGUGCUUCUGGUUCUAGAGCCUUUGGAUUCUAACUGGGACUCACACCAUCAGCUCGUCCGGUUAUCAGGCCUUUGGACUAAGACUGAGUUACACCACCAGCCUUCCUGGGUCUCCAACCUGCAGAUGGCAGAUCAUGGGACUUCUCCACCUCCAUAAACAUAUGAGCCAAUUCCUAUAAUGUCUCACAUAUCUAUAUAUGUCCUAUUGGUUCUGAUUCUAGAGCAGAAGACACACAACCUUCUAGAUCUGUAGGGCUCCUUAUGAAUCAUGAGAUCCCCAGAACAGCUGCAAAAUUAAACAAAUUCAGCGAAACAAAAAUUAGCUGUUUUGCAGAUAAUUACUGCUUUUACCUUUAACUUUCAGUUUUGUCAUGAUGUAGACAUCACUGG